UGCGUAGGCGGAUCAGUAAGUCAGUGGUGAAAUCUUUCGGCUCAACCGGGAAACUGCCAUUGAUACUGUUGAUCUUGAGUUCGGCAGAGGUAGGCGGAAUGUGUAAUGUAGCGGUGAAAUGCUUAGAUAUUACACAGAACACCAAUUGCGUAGGCAGCUUACUAUCCCGACACUGACGCUGAGGCACGAAAGCGUGGGGAGCGAACAGGAUUAGAUACCCUGGUAGUCC
rnacentral:rRNA from 1 species